GGCGAGAUGACCGAGUGGUCUAAGGUGUGUGACUCAAGCGCAAGCUUACCGGCUUAAGUCCGGUUUCUCAUCAGCGUCAGCUGGCAGGGGUUCGAAUCCCCUUCUCGUCA